GAUUGGACUGGGUCUAUGUUUAUAAUUAUAGUCUAGAAUAGUUAUAAACAUAGGCUCAAUCCAAUCUAUCAUCUAAUGUUUAUGAUAGUUCGGUUAUAAAUCAAUGGGAUUUUGGGCCCAACUAGUUAAAGGGGCAUUUAAAAGUUUAGCCUAGACAAGUUUAAGUAAUCUAGAGGUGGGCCAUCUCCCAUAAUACUUUAAGGGGGUG
rnacentral:lncRNA from 1 species